AAAAGGCACAGCCGGCGAAAGCCGGUGUCGCAAAGCCAAGAGCCUAAACGGUGUCCCCGCACCGCAUGGCAGCCGGUUGCCGA
rnacentral:ncRNA from 1 species